rnacentral:rRNA from 1 species
UACAGAGGUCCCGAGCGUUGUUCGGAUUCAUUGGGCGUAAAGGGUGCGUAGGCGGUCUGCUAAGUUUGAUGUGAAAUCCCGGGGCUCAACCCUGGAAUGGCAUUGAAUACUGGUGGACUAGAGUACUGGAGAGGAAACUGGAAUUUACGGUGUAGCAGUGAAAUGCGUAGAGAUCGUAAGGAAGACCAGUGGCGAAGGCGAGUUUCUGGACAGUAACUGACGCUGAGGCACGAAGGCCAGGGGGAGCAAAACGGGG